rnacentral:rRNA from 1 species
CCUACGGGGGGCAGCAGUGAGGAAUCUUCGUCAAUGGCCGGAAGGCUGAACCAGCCAUGCCGCGUGAAGGUCAGUGCCCUAUGGGCGGUAAACUUCCUUUGUGCGGGAGCAAUAAUGGUCACGUUUGGCCAGACGAGAGUACCGUACGAAUAAGCAUCGGCUAACUCCGGGCAAGCGGCCGCGGUAAUACGUGGGAUGCAAGCGUUUUCCGGAUUUAUUGGGUUUAAAGGGUGCGUAGGCUGUGAGGUAAGUCACCGGUGAAAUGCCCCCGCUCAACGGGGUGGAGUGCCAUUGAUACUGCCUUGCUUGAAUGCGGAUGCCGUGAGAGGAAUG